GUGGGGAAUAUUGGGCAAUGGGCGCAAGCCUGACCCAGCAACGCCGCGUGAAGGAAGAAGGCUUUCGGGUUGUAAACUUCUUUUGAGAGGGACGAAACAAAUGACGGUACCUCUUGAAUAAGCCACGGCUAACUACGUGCCAGCAGCCGCGGUAAUACGUAGGUGGCAAGCGUUAUCCGGAUUUAUUGGGUGUAAAGGGCGUGUAGGCGGGACUGCAAGUCAGAUGUGAAAACUCGGGGCUCAACCCCGAGCCUGCAUUUGAAACUGUAGUUCUUGAGUGCUGGAGAGGCAAUCGGAAUUCCGUGUGUAGCGGUGAAAUGCGUAGAUAUACGGAGGAACACCAGUGGCGAAGGCGGAUUGCUGGACAGUAACUGACGCUGAGGCGCGAAAGCGUGGGGAGCAAACAGG
rnacentral:rRNA from 1 species